rnacentral:misc_RNA from 1 species
AAAGUCGUAACAAGGUUUCCGUAGGUGAACCUGCGGAAGGAUCAUUAUUACGUAUCAACGUAUAAACCAAACUCGUGAACUGUUUCCGCUCAGAUUGUUGGAGUUAAUGUUCUUGGGUCGCGCUCUACAUGGCUGUCCGUGUGAUGAUAGCAGCAAGCAAUUGCUGUUGGACGGCUGCGACCUGUUCGCCGAAGCACGAGUUGCAAAACUCGCGUUUCGGGACUCUCUUUCUGGGUUGGUUAUUUUCCAAACAUCGUCACACUAAAAUUGUACCAACAAUUUAUACACCCAUUGUAAACUUACAAAGUUGAACUAAACUAUGUUUCCCCUGGCUGAUCCUCGCUUGAUCUCCUCGUGAGUCGCGAGUCAGCUGCGGAAACGUGAUAUUUUACGAAAUUACGAACAACUCUUAGCAACGGAUAUCUUGGCUCUC